AUUGAACGCUGGCGGCAGGCCUAACACAUGCAAGUCGAACGGUAACAGGAAGCAGCUUGCUGCUUUGCUGACGAGUGGCGGACGGGUGAGUAAUGUCUGGGAAACUGCCCGAUGGAGGGGGAUAACUACUGGAAACGGUAGCUAAUACCGCAUAACGUCGCAAGACCAAAGAGGGGGACCUUAGGGCCUCUUGCCAUCGGAUGUGCCCAGAUGGGAUUAGCUAGUAGGUGGGGUAACGGCUCACCUAGGCGACGAUCCCUAGCUGGUCUGAGAGGAUGACCAGCCACACUGGAACUGAGACACGGUCCAGACUCCUACGGGAGGCAGCAGUGGGGAAUAUUGACCAAUGGGCGCAAGCCUGAUGCAGCCAUGCCGCGUGUAUGAAGAAGGCCUUCGGGUUGUAAAGUACUUUCAGCGGGGAGGAAGGGAGUAAAGUUAAUACCUUUGCUCAUUGACGUUACCCGCAGAAGAAGCACCGGCUAACUCCGUG
rnacentral:rRNA from 1 species